rnacentral:rRNA from 1 species
CCUACGGGGGGCAGCAGUCGAGAAUCAUUCACAAUGGGGGAAACCCUGAUGGUGCGACGCCGCGUGGGGGAAUGAAGGUCUUCGGAUUGUAAACCCCUGUCAUGUGGGAGCAAAUUAAAAAGAUAGUACCACAAGAGGAAGAGACGGCUAACUCUGUGCGAGCAGCCGCGGUAAUACAGAGGUCUCAAGCGUUGUUCGGAGUCAAUGGGCGGAAAGCGUGCGUAGGCUGUUUCGUAAGUCGUGUGUGAAAGGCGCGGGCUCAACCGGCGGACGGCACAUGAUACUGCGAGACUAGAGUAAUGGAGGGGGAACCGGAAUUCUCGGUGUAGCAGUGAAAUGCGUAGAUAUCGAGAGGAACACUCGUGGCGAAGGCGGGUUCCUGGACAUUAACUGACGCUGAGGCACGAAGGCCAGGGGAGCGAAAGGGAUUAGAUACCCGUGUAGUC